rnacentral:rRNA from 1 species
GACGAACGCUGGCGGCGUGCUUAACACAUGCAAGUCGAACGGAAAGUCCCUGCUUUUGUGGGGUGCUCGAGUUGCGAACGGGUGAGUAACACGUGAGUAACCUGCCCUUGACUUUGGGAUAACUUCAUGACACUGGGGCUAAUACUGGCUAGGAGCUCCUGCUGCAUGGUGGGGGUUGGAAAGUUUCGGCGGUUGGGGAUGGACUCGCGGCUUAUCAGCUUGUUGCUGGGGUAGUGGCUUACCAAGGCUUUGACGGGUAGCCGGCCUGAGAGGGUGACCGGCCAAAUUGGGACGGGGAUACGGCACAGACUCCUACGGGAGGCAGCAGUGGGGAAUAUUGCACAAUGGGAGGAGGCCUGAUGCAGCAACGCAGCGUGCGGGAUGACGGCAUUCGGGUUGUAAACCGAUUUCGCCUGUGACGAAGCGUGAGUGACGGUAAUGGGUAAAGAAGCACCGGCUAACUACGUG